rnacentral:rRNA from 1 species
UGAGGAAUAUUGGUCAAUGGACGAGAGUCUGAACCAGCCAAGUAGCGUGAAGGAUGACUGCCCUAUGGGUUGUAAACUUCUUUUAUACGGGAAUAAAGUUAGCCACGUGUGGCUUUUUGUAUGUACCGUAUGAAUAAGGAUCGGCUAACUCCGUGCCAGCAGCCGCGGUAAUACGGAGGAUCCGAGCGUUAUCCGGAUUUAUUGGGUUUAAAGGGAGCGUAGGCGGGUUGUUAAGUCAGUUGUGAAAGUUUGCGGCUCAACCGUAAAAUUGCAGUUGAUACUGGCGACCUUGAGUGCAACAGAGGUAGGCGGAAUUCGUGGUGUAGCGGUGAAAUGCUUAGAUAUCACGAAGAACUCCGAUUGCGAAGGCAGCUUACUGGAUUGUAACUGACGCUGAUGCUCGAAAGUGUGGGUAUCAAACAGGAUUAGAUACCCUGGUAGUCCACACAGUAAACGAUGAAUACUCGCUGUUGGCGAUAUACGGUCAGCGGCCAAGCGAAAGCAUUAAGUAUUCCACCUGGGGAGUACGCCGGCAACGGUGAAACUCAAAGGAAUUGACGGGGGCCCGCACAAGCGGAGGAACAUGUGGUUUAAUUCGAUGAUACGCGAGGAACCUUACCCGGGCUUAAAUUGCAACUGACUGAAUCGGAAACGGUUCUUUCUUCGGACAGUUGUGAAGGUGCUGCAUGGUUGUCGUCAGCUCGUGCCGUGAGGUGUCGGCUUAAGUGCCAUAACGAGCGCAACCCUUACGGGUAGUUACCAUCAGGUUAUGCUGGGGACUCUACCCGGACUGCCGUCGUAAGAUGUGAGGAAGGUGGGGAUGACGUCAAAUCAGCACGGCCCUUACGUCCGGGGCUACACACGUGUUACAAUGGGGGGUACAGAAGGCAGCUACACGGCGACGUGGUGCUAAUCCCGAAAGCCUCUCUCAGUUCGGAUUGGAGUCUGCAACCCGACUCCAUGAAGCUGGAUUCGCUAGUAAUCGCGCAUCAGCCACGGCGCGGUGAAUACGUUCCC